rnacentral:tRNA from 1 species
GGGUCGUUAGCUCAGGGGUAGAGCACCACAUUCACACUGUGGGGGUCGGAGGUUCGAAGCCUCCACGACCCACCA